rnacentral:rRNA from 1 species
AUGAGAGUUAAUAUAAAAGGUUUAUUAACUUGCUUGACUAGGUCUUAUAAAAUUCUAGAUAAAGCUGAUAAUGACAACUUUAUAUCUAUAGGUCUCGACAAAAUCUUGUGCCAGCAGUCGCGGUAAGACAAGGGAGACAAGUGUUAUUCAUCUUUAACAGGUAUAUAGGGUACCUAGACUGUGUACAAAGGCUUGUAAGAGUACCUGUUACACUAGAGUUUAAUAUGUGAGAGGAAUAUGUCAGAAUUGUUGGUGUAGAGAUAAAAUUCUUUGAUACUAAUAGGACUGAUAAUGGCGAAGGCAAACCUCUAUGUAUACAUACUUUAUAAACUUAAAUAUAAAGUAUACGAACUGACGUUGAGGGACGAAGGCUCAGAGAGUGAAGAGGAUUAGAUACCCCCGUAGCCUGGGCAGACAAUGAUGAGUGUCAUAGGUUGGCUUUUAGGCUGAACUAUAAAUGAAAGUGUAAGCACUCCACCUCAAGAGUAAUGUGGCAACGCAGGAACUGAAAUCAUUAGACCGUUUCUGAAACCAGUAGUGAAGUAUGUUAUUUAAUUCGAUGAUCCGCGAAUAACCUUACCACAAUUUGAAUGCUCUAAAGGAUUACUGUUAGUGUACACACUAAUAGUAACGAAUUAGAUCACAUGCGUUGCAUGGCUGUCUUCAGUUAAUGUCGUGAGAUUUGGUUAGGUCCAUUAAAUUAACGUAAACCCUUGCUUUAUUUGAUAUAAUAUGGCAGUUCACCGCUUAGAAUGGAUAUGAAAUAGG